UUAAACCUCCUGAGCUGUUUGAUGAUUUCAGUUGCGAGUCGGUUGGGGGCAGUCGCCCUGCUUCGCUGCCACUCCGCACAGAACCUCCGCUACGCCAGAUACUGAAGAAUGGGCACCGCUGAGGGGUCGCCAGCCCCCAAGAGGACCGUGAGCCCGUCUCGGAGGCCCCGUCACAAGCACCGCACUACAGAGUGCUUUAUGGGCACCUCCUUCUUGGCGACAAGGAGGCCGGGAGCCGAGACAAAAGCACGGAGGAGCGCCCGGCCUCCCCUCCCGGCUCGCCGCAGGGCGACACGGCCACGGCCGCCACCACCGCCACCAUACCCCCUCGUCAUCUUCAACCCUCAACAUCUCCACCAUCUCGGCG